rnacentral:rRNA from 1 species
GCAGCCAGCUGCGAGACUUGGUGUGAAUUGCAGGACACAUUGAGCACUGAUUUUUCGAACGCGCAUUGCGGCCUCGGGUACUCCCCGGGGCCUCGCCUGUCUGAGGGUCGGAUAAGACUUACCUAGGACGGCAACGCGCCUCAUAGUGCGUGCCGAUCCAGUUGGCUGUACCGGAUCGCUCCGUCGAUUCGCCUGCCUAAGGUGUUGGUUCGACUCCCCGGCCGAGAAGCGCUCGCUCCCUAAGCUGAGCUCGUCAGAAGCGGCGGAGUAUGUGUGAUCAUCUCCCCGCGAAGGUCGAGCGGAGCGUAGUGCAGAGAGCAUGCCACGAAGGGGAAGAGGACUAUCCGCUAGGGUGCCUUCGCUUACAAUGCGGCUGAUACUUCUGCGAAAAGAUCGUGUUCCGAUCGAAGUAAGCAGUAGUGCGUCACGAUGUUGAUCGCACGAAGAGUGUCUGCAGUGGCCGCAGCGUCGAGCACACGACUGGACUCUUUAAAUUGUCGACCUCAGAUCAGACGAGAUGACCCGCUGAAUUUAAGCAUAUC